rnacentral:rRNA from 1 species
AAACUUACCAGGUCAAGACAUGGGCGUGAUUGACAGGCUAAUGACUUUUCUCGAUUCCAUGGAUGGUGGUGCAUGGUCGCACUUAGUUGGUGCAGUGAUUUGUCAGGUUUAUUCCGGUAACGAACGAGACCUCGGCCUUGUAAAUAGCUAUGCUGCUUACAGGGACAUUGGCGGCUACGCCAAGGAAGCUCGAGGCAAUUGCAGAUCUGGAAUGCCCUUAGAUGUCCUGGGUCGCACGCGUGCUACAAUGACGCCACGAACGAGCUUGCGUGAUGAAAGUUACGCAUAAUCAGCAGUCGGCGUCUUAAGGGAUAGUCUCUUGUAACUGUGGGACUCCAACUAGGAAUGUCUCGUAAGCACAAGUCAACAUCUUGUGUUGAUUACGUCCCUGCUCUUUGUACACACCGCCCGUCGCUCCUACCGAUCGAGUGUUUAGGUGAAUUUGAUGGACGUAAGGAAGUCAAAUAAACCUGAGCACUAGAGAAGAGAAGUCGAGAUUC